GAGUAAUGUCUGGGAAACUGCCUGAUGGAGGGGGAUAACUACUGGAAACGGUAGCUAAUACCGCAUAACGUCGCAAGACCAAAGAGGGGGACCUUCGGGCCUCUUGCCAUCGGAUGUGCCCAGAUGGGAUUAGCUAGUAGGUGGGGUAACGGCUCACCUAGGCGACGAUCCCUAGCUGGUCUGAGAGGAUGACCAGCCACACUGGAACUGAGACACGGUCCAGACUCCUACGGGAGGCAGCAGUGGGGAAUAUUGCACAAUGGGCGCAAGCCUGAUGCAGCCAUGCCGCGUGUAUGAAGAAGGCCUUCGGGUUGUAAAGUACUUUCAGCGGGGAGGAAGGGAGUGAAGUUAAUACCUUUGCUCAUUGACGUUACCCGCAGAAGAAGCACCGGCUAACUCCGUGCCAGCAGCCGCGGUAAUACGGAGGGUGCAAGCGUUAAUCGGAAUUACUGGGCGUAAAGCGCACGCAGGCGGUUUGUUAAGUCAGAUGUGAAAUCCCCGGGCUCAACCUGGGAACUGCAUCUGAUACUGGCAAGCUUGAGUCUCGUAGAGGGGGGUAGAAUUCCAGGUGUAGCGGUGAAAUGCGUAGAGAUCUGGAGGAAUACCGGUGGCGAAGGCGGCCCCCUGGACGAAGACUGACGCUCAGGUGCGAAAGCGUGGGGAGCAAACAG
rnacentral:rRNA from 1 species